rnacentral:rRNA from 1 species
UAGGGAAUCUUCCACAAUGGACGAAAGUCUGAUGGAGCAACGCCGCGUGAGCGAAGAAGGUUUUCGGAUCAUAAAGCUCUGUUGCUGGAGAAGAACGAGUGCGAGAGGAAAUGCUCGUACUGUGACGGUAUCCAGCCAGAAAGCCACAGCUAACUACGUG